rnacentral:sRNA from 1 species
AUAUUCAAGAUCAGGUUAACUCUGACCUGGAGGUGGCAUCUGUCCUAUUUAAAGGUUGAAAGUUAUGCUGAAUGCAAUAUCCAUACAUCUCCUUCUCCGGGAAUUCAAGUAAGGCAUGUCUACACCCCCUCUACAACAAAGCAUUUCUCACCCAUAAAACAGUCAACUACUUUAACCAACAAACACAGAGGAAAUGAGGUCUCUACCACACCUCUGUUAGCAAAUUCUUUGUCUGUUCACCAGUUGGCUGCUCAGGGAGAGAUGCUCUAUCUGGCCACUCGUAUCGAACAAGGUAAUAGCCUAUUUAAAAAUAUUUAAACAAAUUCAAUAGGAUUUAUUAGAUUUGUUAUUGUUUUAUUUUAAUAUAAGAAAGUCUAAAGACAAAAACAAAUAGUUACAUAAACUCACCAAGUAGAUAACCCAAUGGAUAGUAAA